rnacentral:snRNA from 1 species
AAUGGAAUUCUUUCGAGGUUUGA